GGAGAAAUAACUGCGAGGGAAUGAGACGUCCCGUUGUCGACGGGACUCAGAAAUAGGUGUAAUAAAUGGAAGCAAAGUCACGCAGAGCAGAAGGGGAAAAAAAACCCCCGGCUCCAUGACUGGGAAGGAGAGAUUAGGAUGCAGUGUGCAUGUGAGA